GAUGAACGCUGGCGGCGUGCCUAAUACAUGCAAGUCGAGCGAACAGACGAGGAGCUUGCUCCUCUGACGUUAGCGGCGGACGGGUGAGUAACACGUGGAUAACCUACCUAUAAGACUGGGAUAACUUCGGGAAACCGGAGCUAAUACCGGAUAAUAUAUUGAACCGCAUGGUUCAAUAGUGAAAGACGGUUUUGCUGUCACUUAUAGAUGGAUCCGCGCCGCAUUAGCUAGUUGGUAAGGUAACGGCUUACCAAGGCAACGAUGCGUAGCCGACCUGAGAGGGUGAUCGGCCACACUGGAACUGAGACACGGUCCAGACUCCUACGGGAGGCAGCAGUAGGGAAUCUUCCGCAAUGGGCGAAAGCCUGACGGAGCAACGCCGCGUGAGUGAUGAAGGUCUUCGGAUCGUAAAACUCUGUUAUUAGGGAAGAACAAAUGUGUAAGUAGCUAUGCACGUCCUGACGGUACCAAAUCAGAGAGCCACGGCUAGCUACGUG
rnacentral:rRNA from 1 species